CUUAGCGCGUGCAGUCUGCCUUCCUCGCUCGAUUUUGCUUCUUGACCUCGUGGCUUUAGCGACUUUUGGCGUUUAAUUUACUCAUUUUUCAACGCUUUUCAAGAUUAGGUGGUGGAAGUCGUACUUGCCAUGAGUUUGGAAAAGGACAUGUUUCCAUGUAAUGCCCACAAGGAGGAGGUGGGAGUCGAGCAUGUAGGUGUCAUAAGAAGUGGGCCAUGUAGCAAGGGAUUUUCCACAAGGAGGGGUCAUUGGUGACAGCAAGUGUUACAAGUGUCAUGAAGUUGGCCACACCUCGAAAGGCUGUACGAAUCUAUUCAUGAAUUGACGAAAAACGGAAAGCCGUGUGAACAAUAUAUUCCGGAAGCUGUGACAUGCGAUGAAAAGGAACUGUUUAAGUGGGAUCGUCUGUGGGGAACGCCUUAACAAUUUUGAUAAAGUCAUUCUCCAUCGAAUCCAGGUUACAGGAAAAGAUGUACCUCAAUACAUAACAUCACUCGAAGAAGCCGGCCUGCGCCCACUACUUCAAAACAUUAAGAAUUCUGACUACAUAAAACCAACACCUGUACAGAAAGCUUCAGUUGCAGUUACUCUUGCCAAAAGAGAUUUGAUUGCUUGUGCUGUCAGGGGCUCCGGCAAAACGGCGGCGUACUUGGUACCGGUUAUGAACAUAUUGUUAGAACAAGGUGUUGCUGGUGCGUCCCCGCCAUGGUUCAAAAGCCAGAAGUUGUAAUUGUCACACUCACUCGUGAAUUUUCGAUUCGAAUUCACCGCGGGUCGUGUAAAUUCUCCUACAAUUCGGUUUUAAAAUCUGUCAUUAUAUAUGAAGGAACUGUCACGAGCCAUCAGCGGUCAAAUCUUCAAGCUGGGUGCAAUACUCUUGUCGCGACCGCGGGGCGACUCGAGGAUUUUCUCGACCUUGGAGUAUUUUACUUGUCGACGGCCAGGUUUUUAAUUUUGGACGAAGCUGAUCGAAUGCUUUAUGGGUUUCGGUCCCGAUAUUGAAAAAAUUGUCAACCAUCCAACGAUGCCUCCGAAAGGAAUCCGUCGUGUUUGUAUGUUUACGGUUUCACUGGCGCCCAAGUCGAAAAAUUGCCUUGUCUGGAAAUUUGGCAAAGUGUGACGGCUUUUGGCAGAACUAUGAUUGAGAAAACAAGAGAGGAUGUGGAGUCUAAAUUUUGCGUCGAGAAUGGCUAUGCCCAUGACGCCAAAGUAACCUAUGGUAACACAGAUUCCGUAAUGGUGAAAUUCGGUGUACCCACGGUGGCCGAAGCCAUGGAAUUAGGCCGAGAAGCUGUCGCAUUUGUGUCGGCAAAAUUUGUCAAACCCAUUAAUUUGGAAUUGGGAAAAGUCUAUUAUCCCUAUUUAUUGAUCAACAAAAAGAGGUAUGCAGGAUUGUAUUGGACCAAACCUGAAGAGUUUGAUAAAAUGGAUUGUAAAGAUAUAUAAACCGUUCGUCGUGAUAAUUGCCAACUCGUUGCCAAUAUUAUCAAUAGCUGUCUGCAGAAAAUUUUGAUGGAGCGAGACCCAUAUGGAGCCUUAGAAUACGCCAAACAAACAAUUUCCGACUUGCUGUGCAACAAAGUCGAUAUCUCACUUCUGGUGAUUACUAAGGAGCUGACUAAAACAGAUAAAGACUACGCCAGCAAACAGCACAUGUGGAACUAGCUCACAAGAUGCGUAAGCGAGAUGCUGGUACAACCCCAAAAUUAGGGGAUCGAGUUCCGUAUAUCAUUAUCGCAGCUGCUAAAAACGAGCCUCAAUGCGGAAGAUCCGAUUUUUGUCCUGGAAUACAGCGUACCUAUUGAUGCCCAAUACUAUUUGGAAAAUCAGCUUUCAAAACCCUUUGUUUGGAUUUUUGAACCCAUACUUGGAUCUAAAGCGGAAUCAUUGUUGCUACAUGGCGUCCGUAGAUGGUUAUCAUACCCGGACGCCUUCAGUUGUUACUUCAAAAAUUGGUGGAUUGGCUAGCUUUACCACAUGCAAAUCCACCUGUGUUGGAUGCAAAACCGUCCUUCCAGACGAUAGUGCUGUAUGCAAUUAAACAGAUUUUGCAAGCCGAAAGAAUCGGAGUUCUACCAGAGGGAAAUUGGCCAACUUUAUGCUCUCGAAGAUUUAAUCGUUUAUGGACAGAAUGUCAACGGUGCCAGGGAAAUCUCAACGAAGAGAUUCUUUGUUCCAACCGAGAUUGCCCCAUCUUUUACAUGAGGACAAAAGUUAGAAAAGAUCUCACGGAACAGGAUAAACUUAUGAAAAGAUUUGGCCUACCCUGACAACCUACCGCUCUCGUCAAUGAUGGUGCAUACAGUCUCGUAGGGGGAUAGUCGCUAGGUGGCCCAGGUGCUGUGCUGAGCUGAGCUGAUGGCAACAUUUAACAUGGCGUCGUAGCGGCUGGUUAUAUCACGGCAGCCGAACGUGGCAGACCUUCCUUUUUGUCGGUGAAAUUCAAGGGAGGAACUGCAAAUGCUCGCCGCCAUGUUGUACGAACGAUGUGGUCUGGCGAACACCUUGCCAAGGUGACCAUGCAUUACCUUCGAGUGUAUUUAAGUCGGUAGAUUUGUUCCGCAGUUUCCCGGAUACCAGCAUCCUGCUUCGCGAGAACUACUCUACGUUGUUCUGGGGGGCUAAGACGAACAUCUGAAUCCGAUUUUGAAGAAGUCUUGCAUCGAUGGACACUGACAAAAUAUAGGAAGCUGCACAUGAAUGUUGGGUAUUUUAUCAUAAGUAGAAUAAUACAGAAAGAUUCUGUAGUAGUAGAUCUCUUUAGUUGGGUAUUGAAAUUGGCUUUGGUGUGUCUGGGGUCCGAUGGGGUCCCAGUUGCAUUUGAUCCUACUUGUUAUUUAUCACUGCCAAUGCCAGUCGAAAAGGAAGUACCAGUUGACCUGUAUGUGGCUUACAUGGAUCUUUUAGCAGAAAGUUUUCUGAUUUCAAGGGAUUUGAAGAGUUUGAAAAAUAUUAUGUCUCUAGGAUUCCACAGUUUUACGUAAUUCGAUUGACAAGAAAUUUAUACUGAUUCUUGUUUUAUUUUUCUAAAGGCAGAUUCGUAAUUAUAAGAAUUGGGAAAGAAAGUUGACGGAGGCUCAGUACCAAAAAAAUUAUUUCCUCCUACCCGAUUUCCUUUUCACUUGUGAUAAUUCUGCAGCUGGUCAUGCAGAUACUGUGAUCAGCAGAGAAAGUUAAAAGUGCGCUGCCCGAAAAGCAAAUUUGGGGUAAAAGAAAAAAACUUAUUCCAACUAGUAAGCCAUUUCCAAAUUCAACCAACAAAAAGGAAAAGGUGGAAGGAAAAACUUGGUUCUCUAGUAGUUUUUUUUAGUUAAAAUCCUUUUUGUGCAAAUUCAUUUUUGAAAUUGUUUACUUCAUUUUCGAAUGGUUCCGUUCACAUUUGUUGUUCAUGUGAGAUGUUAUAUUUACCAGUUACUGCAUUAUAUUUACCACUAUUGCAAGAUGUUUGUUUAGGAAUUACUACUGUUUUGUUUAUCUGGAAUGUUGUGUGGGAGUCCAUCAGGAAUUGCUGGUCUGCAGUAAAUUUGUCAGGCUAGGUGAUGAACAUCAAUGAAUCAGAAAAUGUUUUGCAUGUGUGGUGAAUGUUCUGACAGUUUUAACAGUUGUGAUGGGGUGUAUUUCACUUCCACGCAUCAUGGUCCUUAUCUAUCAGUUGAAUUGUAUGGUUAAUUUUUUGUUCGUGUAACCUCAUUUCAUCUUGACUCAUCUAGUAGAAGUUGGUGACCUGAUACAAUGAACAUGGAAAAAUCACCUGCGCCCACGUUGACGAUGAUACCUGUACUUAA